GCCAGACUCCUACGGAGGCAGCAGUGAGGAAUAUUGGUCAAUGGCCGAGAGGCUGAACCAGCCAAGUCGCGUGAGGGAAGACGGCCCUACGGGUUGUAAACCUCUUUUGUCGGGGAGCAAAGCGAGUCACGUGUGACUCAUUGAGAGUACCCGAAGAAAAAGCAUCGGCUAACUCCGUGCCAGCAGCCGCGGUAAUACGGAGGAUGCGAGCGUUAUCCGGAUUUAUUGGGUUUAAAGGGUGCGCAGGCGGAGGUGCAAGUCAGCGGUCAAAUUGCGGGGCUCAACCCCGUACUGCCGUUGAAACUGGGUGCCUUGAGUGGGCGAGAAGUACGCGGAAUGCGUGGUGUAGCGGUGAAAUGCAUAGAUAUCACGCAGAACUCCGAUUGCGAAGGCAGCGCACCGGCGCCCUACUGACGCUCAGGCACGAAAGCGUGGGUAUCGAACAGGAUUAGAUACCCCGGUAAAA
rnacentral:rRNA from 1 species